rnacentral:rRNA from 1 species
AUUGAACGCUGGCGGCAGGCCUAACACAUGCAAGUCGAACGAGUGGCGGACGGGUGAGUAAUGUCGGGGAAACUGCCCGAUGGAGGGGGAUAACUACGGGAAACAGUAGCUAAUACCGCAUACCAUCGGAUGUGCCGAGGUGGGAUUAGCUAGUGGGUGGGGUAAUGGCUCACCAAGGCGACGCUCCCUAGCUGGUCUGAGAGGAUGACCAGCCACACUGGAACUGAGACACGGUCCAGACUCCUACGGGAGGCAGCAGUGGGGAAUAUUGGACAAUGGGCGAAAGCCUGAUGCAGCCAUGCCGCGUGUGUGAAGAAGGUCUUCGGGUUGUAAAGGACUUUCAGCGGGGAGGCGUUACUCGCAGAGGAAGCAACGGCUAACUCCGUGCCAGCAGCCGCGGUAAUAC